AACGAACGCUGGCGGCAUGCCUAACACAUGCAAGUCGAACGAGACCUUCGGGUCUAGUGGCGCACGGGUGCGUAACGCGUGGGAACCUGCCCUUAGGUUCGGAAUAACUCCCCGAAAGGGGUGCUAAUACCGGAUAAUGUCUUCGGACCAAAGAUUUAUCGCCUUUGGAUGGGCCCGCGUUGGAUUAGAUAGUUGGUAGGGUAAAAGCCUACCAAGGCGACGAUCCAUAGCUGGUCUGAGAGGAUGAUCAGCCACACUGGGACUGAGACACGGCCCAGACUACUACGGGAGGCAGCAGUGGGGAAUAUUGGACAAUGGGGGAAAGCAUGAACCAGCAAUGCCGCGUGAGUGAUGAAGGCCUUAGGGUUGUAAAGCUCUUUUACACGGGAUGAUAAUGACAGUACCGGGAGAAUAAGCUCCGGCUAACUCCGUG
rnacentral:rRNA from 1 species